rnacentral:lncRNA from 1 species
AAAGAAGAGAAAGAUAGAAGUGGAAGCAUCAAACGAAAAAAACCCAUAGGUUUAAUAAGUGAGAAACUUGUAGUGUCUUAACACUAUUGGAAGUUGGGACUCUUUAGAUUUUAAUAAGAUAUUGUUAAAGGUAUAACCAGUCUUUGGUGGAGUGAAGUCUCAAGGAACUGGAAUUCAGAAAUUAGAAUCUGUCUCAAAAGAGUGAUCUGUUUUGUCCUCCAGUCCCAGACUUGGAAGUUCUAGGCUCUUUCUCAGAGAGGCUGGGAUACUGCAUGGUAGUCAGACCAGAAAGUCCUGGGUGUUUUAUGGCAGUAAGAGCCAGAAACAGAAGAAACUCACGGACCCAGUGCAGUCUCCUGCCAUUCCAGCACCUGCAGCCAAUACUUGCAAUCAGAAAAUUGUCAAUUUCCACAGUAUUCCAUUUUGAGGUAGGUUCUGAAGUAAAUUGGUUCUGCAGGUAGGCAUUGAUGGUGGAAGAUUGUCUUAAUCCAGCAGUUCCAGUUCAAUUACAGUGUGAAUUACUGAGAUACUUCCAUAUGGUUAUGAAAAUUGUUUCAAACAAGAAAACAAAGGGUAGAAUUAUUCACAAAUGCCACAUGGCUAUAUUUUGCCUUAUGAAUGCUGGACUACACUCUAAUAAGAAUUAUUUUUAAAGCAAAUAAGAAUGUUGCUUCUGCAAACAUAGGUGCUUAAAUAUUAAUCAGAGC